rnacentral:rRNA from 1 species
UACGAGGGGGGCGAGCGUUGUUCGGAAUUAUUGGGCGUAAAGGGUGCGUAGGCGGUUUGGUAAGUCUCUUGUGAAAUCUAUGGGCUCAACUCAUAGUCUGCAAGGGAAACUGCCGGGCUUGAGUGUGGGAGAGGUGAGUGGAAUUUCCGGUGUAGCGGUGAAAUGCAUAGAUAUGUCACAGAACACCGAUUGCGAAGGCAGCUUACUAUGGUCCGAUUGACACUGAGGCACGAAAGCGUGGGGAUCAAACAGG